rnacentral:rRNA from 1 species
AAAGGCGGGCGUAGGUGGGUUCGUUAAGUUGGAUGUGAAAAGCCCCGGGGCUCAACCUGGGAACUGCAUCCAAAACUGGCGAGCUAGAGUAUGGCAGAGGGUGGUGGAAUUUCCUGUGUAGCGGUGAAAUGCGUAGUAUAGGAAGGAACACCAGUGGCGAAGGCGACCACCUGGGCUAAUACUGACACUGAGGGCGAGAGGGUGGGGACAAACAGGAUUAAAUACCCUGGUAGU